ensembl:lncRNA
ACUUAUGUGUAGCUUGACAAAAACUGGUUUAGGUGUAUCCCUACUUGUAGUGCAGUAAAUUUGUGUACUUAAUUUAUUGUGCUAUUUCACUGUAAUGAUUUAAAAAUGUUUGUCUGGUAUUCCUCAGGGUUUCUUCAUUCUUGUGUUUGGAACAUUAAUGGAUUCAAAGAUCCGUGCUAUUCUCUCAAAAAGCAUGCCUAGACCAGCCUCUGGAUCUAAUCAAACAAGAAGCACAAGUGGUGGCAUUUCGUCUUUCAGUGGGAUGAAUUUGAUCAACCGACUCCGUGGAAGAAAAAAUGUCUACCGUGUUUCAAAUGCUACAAACUCCAGCAACAACAACAGCAGUGCAUCAGAGACAUUUAUUAACGUGCAUGAGUAGUGGCUCAAUAAUCAUCAUUAAUUCUGCUAUAAAAACAGCCCAGAAGAAGGAAAGCAAGUGUAAUAUAUCUGAAAUGAAAAGUGCAGUGAAACAAUCUUGUGAAUGAAACUGAAAUAGUGUUUUUGAGAGCUGCCACUUGAAGCAGUGUUUUGUAAUGUUGCACAAUGGCCAGAACAGUUAGUAAAGAGCCUGUUAGAAGGCUACAACUUGUAAAAACUAUUGUCUGACUGCAGUUUCAUGACUACAUGUGUAAAGUGUUACCAUUAUUUAAAAGCGAAGUCUUUAUGGUGUACUUUUAAAUUGUGUUGCAUUAAGAAACCUUGUUUUAUUUAAUACCAUUGUACUGGUUAAGUGUAGCGUGUGUCGCAAAAUUGUUGCAGAAAUUAGCCUCAUACUGCACCAAACAAUGUAGAUAAAAGUUUAGGCUGCAACAUACCUAAUGGUAGAAACUACCCUUUAUGAUUUAAAUUGUGCUUGUUAAUUUAGGGUUUCUAAAUUUCCUCAGCUUGUCUGAGAAAACUAUCAAUUUAGACUAAGUCUCAAAGAGACUUUGAUGAAAAAGAAUUUGAUCAGUCUCAUUAUGAAAGUCGUAAACUCUGAUUUCAUUGACUUCCAGUUCCCAAAACAAAGAAAUACAUGGUAGAACCGCUGAUAAUUAUAUCCAAACAUUUAUUAA